GGUUUUAAACCUUGUGGUACCCCCUUUGAGAGGGGCCCAGGUUUACCGGGGUGUCCCUUCCAAUAUUUCCCUUUCGGUUUUGGAAGGGGUUCCGGUUCCUUUGAAUAGGCACCGUUCAAAAUUUAUUGGCCGCCGGCUCCCCAAGGCCGGAUUCCAUUGGGCCGGGGGGGGUCCGGCCCAAAGGGCUGGAACUGGCCGGUUCCCCCCGGUGCCCCGGUUGGCCUUCCGCCUUGGGGAAGUCCAACCAAUACCGCCACUGACGAAAAGGUUUCCGAUUGGAGAACUUACCCUACAUUCGACAAAGACGUGGUGACAGCAUUCCCCCCCUGUAUUUAUCCCGAAGGGGAGCUUUUUCUGUCAGCGGCCAAGGAAUUCCAAGCUGCCAAGGUUUUUCGGUUUUUUGGAGUCAACCAAUGCUGCCCGUUUUUUAGUGGCACUGAAAAUCCCCGGGUCUACCCCGGGGGGUCAUUGUAACCUGGGGACGUGCUGCAGAGUUGCUGCAGCAAUGACAUGCGAAACCCUAAAACCGUAGCAUUCGUAGUACACCGGUGCCAAGCAGGUGUCUGGUCUGUACUGACGUCACGCUUGAAAGCGUGGCGUCAAUCCAGAUCCGUGACCCGCUUGUGCCACCUGUAUACCAUCAGCGAUAAGUGCUAUACGGUGUUGGCCUUGCAGUGCUGCUGCAAUCGCAUGCAGCAAUGUGUCUCAGGAGUCAGACAGCAUCCUCGGAGCUCCCAGGAGUUGUCGCGUCGGAGCUCAGAAGGCGCGUCAGCUCGUUUAAUUCGCAACAAAUCGUGAACACCUUUCCCAUAUAUGGACACCCGCUGACCACUGUAGAGAUAUAGCUGUCGCUUUGCGGACAAAGUCACACGUGGAGCAUGGUUGUCGUCAGCUCGUGUCGUGAGAUGUUGGAUUAAGUCCCGCAACGAGCGAAACCUUUAUUGUUAGUUGCCAUCAUUUAGUUGGGCACUCUAGCGAGACUGCCGGUGACAAACCGGAGGAAGGUGGGGAGGACGUCAAAUCAUCAUGCCCCUUAUGACCUGGGCUACACACGUGCUACAAUGGGAAGUACAACGAGUCGCUAGACCGCGAGGUCAUGCAAAUCUCUUAAAGCUUCUCUCAGUUCGGAUUGCAGGCUGCAACUCGCCUGCAUGAAGCCGGAAUCGCUAGUAAUCGCGGAUCAGCACGCCGCGGUGAAUACGUUCCCGGGCCUUGUACACACCGCCCGUCACACCACGAGAGUUUGUAACACCCGAAGUCGGUGAGGUAACCUUUUUGGAGCCAGCCGCCUAAGGUGGGAUAGAUGAUUGGGGGAAGUCGAAUCAAUGUGCAUGGGG
rnacentral:rRNA from 1 species